AUGUCGUCAUCCCCACCCACGCCGCCGCUGCCCAUCAUCACCACCGCCCCGAUGACCACGGCCGGGUCCCCAACACCGCCGGCCCCAAUCACCUCCGCGCCGCCGUCAACGAUCCCCGUCUUCACGCCGGAGGAGAUGUCCAGCACCUUGCGGGACCUCAUGACGGCCGUCCAGGGCAUCACCCUGUACCUGGCCGGCCCGCACGCCACCCCGCCGGCUUCGCCCCCCACCUACAGCCAUCCGGCGCUGCACUGGCCGAUCCAGAACACGUCUGGCCCGAGCAGGACGCCCCUGCUGCCGUUCCAGGCGGGACACACCAGCGGGCCCCCAUCGCUGCUGCACCUACAGCCGCCCUCAGCCGCAGCCCAGCUCUGGCUGCCGUGGCCGUCCCAGGGCGCGCCUGCAAUUGGCGGGACACUGUUGCUGCCGUUCCAGGCGGGGCACCACAGCGGGCUGCCACCGCCGCUGCUGCACCUGCAGCCACCCCCAGCCGCGGCUCCCCUCUGGCCACAGUGGCCCCCUACUGCCACCGCGGCUACCGCCGCGUCCGCCCACUCUCCACAGCAGCCGCUGCAACUCCAGGCACCACCUCUGCCCAGCUCCGGACUGCCGUCACCGGCCGGCCUGCCGAUACACCAAGUCUGGUUCCCGCCCUCCCCGUCGCCACUACCAGCUUGGGCGGCUGGGUCUUCGCCAUCGCCAGUCUACACCACGGCUCCAGAGCAGCCGACCCCGUUUCCGCAGUUCGGCGGGCCAUCCGGCUCCGCGGGUCCCUACCCGGAGUACUCCGACCAGGCGCCACCCGCCUCGCUGCUCCGCACCUCCGAGCCAGCUCAACACGGCACUCCGACCCAGACACCGCCGCGGUUCGCCAAGAUCGACUUCGCCACCUAUGACGGCACGAAGGACCCCCUCAACUGGCUCAACCAGUGCGACCAGUUCUUUCGCGGGCAGUGCACCCUCGCCUCGGAGCGCACCUGGCUCGCCUCUUACCACCUCCGUGGCGCGGCACAGACCUGGUACUACACCCUUGAGCAGGACGAGGGCACCCCCUUGGGAGCGCUUCCGCAAGCUCUGCCUCCGUUUUGGGCCCCCGAUCCGCGGGAGCCGCCUAGCAGAGCUAGGCCGCCUUCCCUUCACCUCCACGGUUCAGGACUUCGCCGACCGUUUCCAGGCCCUGGCAUGCCACGCGUCCGGCGUGACGGCGCAGCAGCGGGCCGACCUCUUUGUCGGUGGACUUCCGGAUCACAUUCGCGUGGACGUGGAGCUUCGGGGACCCCAGGAUCUCCAGACGGCCAUGUACUACGCCCGCGCGUUCGAGCGCCGCACGGUGGCCGUCCAGCAGGAGUCACCGUCCCGGGCCACUGGGUCGCUACCCUGGCCAGAUCCCACUCAGGGUCGGCCUGCUCAGGCUUCCGCGGCACCCCUCGCCGCGACCGCGGCGCGCCCGUUCCGCCGGCUCACCUCGGUCGAGCUACUCGAGCGUCGCCGCCAAGGGUUGUGCUUCAACUGCGACGAGCCCUACACGCCCGGCCACGCCUGCCCACGACUCUUCUACCUGGAGGUUGCAGACUACAUUCCGGAGGACGUCGUCGCCGCCGACCUUGCCGCCCCAACUGUCACGAAGGUGUUUGA
rnacentral:rRNA from 1 species